UCAAGAGUCAGAUGCUCAACUGAUGGAAGCCACCCAGCCUGAGUAUUUUUUUACUUUUUUAAAGCUUCCAGGGUGAUUUUUACGAGUAGCCAAUAUUCUGUAUAAUCAACUCGGUUAAAUCCAAAUGGAAUUUUGGGAGCGUUUCUCCUCUGUUCCAUGAAUAUCAAAACAUAGUGUUGACUGUUAACAUUCCUGUCACCUUUGAUGCCCCAGCCAUUCUGAAUACCUGGUCAUUCCGUUCCUGGCUCACCACCAACCGGUAGAAACAACGCUGAUGCACCUGUCCUCAGUGUCUGCCUUUUUUGUCUCUCCUUUGGGAAAUUUAACUAAACAAAUCAACUGAAAACGAGAACAGUGGAUGCCUGAGCUCCUUUGAAAAAUAAGUAAAGGGCAAAUCACAUCUCUUAGGUACUUCAAAAAGGCAAAAGAGAAGAAACACCUUUGAUGGAAAAGUCACUCUGGCAGUAACUUGUCGAGGGCAGCUUGGAAAACGGCGAGCACAGAGCCACAGCUGGCCAGAAUGCAGUAAUGAGGCGUUCCAGACGCACCGGAGCACCGGCUGGCCAAGCUCAUAGAGGCCGCUUCAAGAAGAUUGAUGGGGGAUCAUGAAGCAGCAGCUGGAAGGACACCCCUGGCAAAACCCACUUGGGUGGGGAUAAUGACACCUAACUUGUGAGGUGGUGGAAAAUGAACCAGAAUUAGGUCCCUGUGGUAGUCACGAAGAUGCACUACACAGCUCGUCCUUCAAGAGAUCCUGCUGCGAGGAACUCAGUUGGCCAACAUCUCUGGCUGCCACCUCUGUGGAUUCCCUGCACCCUUAGAAUAUCUAAAAUUUUUGUCUCCAAGAACCAAUUUUCACCCCAAUGGGGGCAACAUUGCCCUUGCUGAGGAGACACCCCGGACGGCAACCUGAGUUCUAGUUCUGCACUAACUGAUUACUCAACCAUUUAUAAGCCACUCUCGCUCUUUGGGACUCCGUUUUCUCAUCUGUAAAAUGGAAAGGUUGAACAACGUGCUGUUGAAACCUCACUCGCAGCCCUGGAGUCCUAGGAGUUCUGCGUGGCACACAGGUGGACACAGCGUAACUGACUUCUCCCGCCCUCCCUGCUCCCCUCCCCACCUACCUUUACAGAGAGGACACGCGGUCGCUGUAUCUUAUCGUGACUGUUAGCUUGCGUGUCAGGCUCCCUCCAAAACAACAUGAACUGCUUGAAGACAAAGUCCACAUGCAUGUGACACAGUAGCUGGCAGGAAGCAGGCACCUGGUCAAUGUUUGUGGAAUGGGCUGCACGGUGUACCUACAGGGUGAACUAGAUGCAACUGCCCAGGUUAAACCUUUUGACAGCAAAUCUAUAGGCUAACUCAGGCUAACUAUGGAAUUAAAGGACACCUGCUCUGUACCUAGCUCUCAGGUCGGUGUCUGACAUGUUGGGCGGUCAAGAGAUGUUUAAGGAAGGUAAGUUGAAGGUAAGGAAGGUAAGUAAAGAAGGUAAGACAGGGAAAAGGUAGACAAAUCAUAUUGUUGCCAAUAUUUUACUUCUUCAGAAAUUCCUGGUAACUUGUAAAAGGACUUCAAUGUAAAGUGGAACCUGAUUAUAUGAAAUGGAGAAUGUCGCACGUGCACCUCCUAGAAGAACAGAACUUAAGAACCUAGAGACUGAUUUCUCAGAAAUGUCUGAUGUACAGAAGACCAAGACUUAUCCCCUGACCAAUGAGCAACUGCCAAGAAUCUUUUCCCAUUCUCAAGCCAUGGAACUCACUGCUUGGACUCUGGCUGGACAUCCCCCUCUUUGCACAACUUGCCUAUAAAUACAGCCUGCUCCAAACCCUCAGCAGACUCACCUGUAGCCUGCAACGUCACGCAUUUAUGGAAUUGCAGUUCCUCUGCUGUUCCCAAAUAAACUCAAUUUCUGGUAAUUUGA